rnacentral:rRNA from 1 species
UACGUAGGUGGCAAGCGUUGUCCGGAUUUACUGGGCGUAAAGCGUGUGUAGGCGGACCUUUGAGUAGAAAGUGAAAGGUAGGAGCUCAACUCCUACAUUGCUCUCUAUACUGGAGGUCUUGAGUGUCGGAGAGGAAGAUGGAACUGCACGUGUAGCGGUGAAAUGCGUUGAGAUGUGCAGGAACACCAAUGGCGAAGGCAAUCUUCUGGACGAAAACUGACGCUGAGACACGAAAGCCAAGGUA